GACGAACGCUGGCGGCGUGCUUAACACAUGCAAGUCGAGCGAAUGGAUUAAGAGCUUGCUCUUAUGAAGUUAGCGGCGGACGGGUGAGUAACACGUGGGUAACCUGCCCAUAAGGCUGGGAUAACUCCGGGAAACCGGGGCUAACACCGGAUAACAUUUUGAACCGCAUGGUUCGAAAUUGAAAGGCGGCUUCGGCUGUCACUUAUGGAUGGACCCGCGUCGCAUUAGCUAGUUGGUGAGGUAACGGCUCACCAAGGCAACGAUGCGUAGCCGACCUGAGAGGGUGAUCGGCCACACUGGGACUGAGACACGGCCCAGACUCCUACGGGAGGCAGCAGUAGGGAAUCUUCCGCAAUGGACGAAAGUCUGACGGAGCAACGCCGCGUGAGUGAUGAAGGCUUUCGGGUCGUAAAACUCUGUUGUUAGGGAAGAACAAGUGCUAGUUGGAUAAGCUGGCACCUUGACGGUACCUAACCAGAAAGCCACGGCUAACUACGUGCCAGCCGCCGCAGUAA
rnacentral:rRNA from 1 species